rnacentral:rRNA from 1 species
UACGUAGGUGGCAAGCGUUACUCGGAAUCACUAGGCGUAAAGCGCAGGUAGGCGGUUGGAUAAGUUUCUUGUGAAAGCUCCCGGCUUAACUGGGAGAGGUCAAGGAAUACUGUCUGACUUGAGUGUGGUAGGGGUAACUGGAAUUCCCGGUGUAGCGGUGAAAUGCGUAGAUAUCGGGAGGAAUACCUAUGGCGAAAGCAGGUUACUGGGCCAUCACUGACGCUGAGCUGCGAAAGCUAGGGGAGCAAACAGG